AACGAACGCUGGCGGCAGGCCUAACACAUGCAAGUCGAGCGGACCCUUCGGGGUUAGCGGCGGACGGGUGAGUAACGCGUGGGAAUAUGCCCUUCUCUACGGAAUAGUCCUGGGAAACUGGGGGUAAUACCGUAUACGCCCUUUGGGGGAAUGAUUUAUCGGGGAAGGAUUAGCCCGCGUUGGAUUAGGUAGUUGGUGGGGUAAUGGCCUACCAAGCCGACGAUCCAUAGCUGGUUUGAGAGGAUGAUCAGCCACACUGGGACUGAGACACGGCCCAGACUCCUACGGGAGGCAGCAGUGGGGAAUCUUAGACAAUGGGGGCAACCCUGAUCGAGCCAUGCCGCGUGAGUGAUGAAGGCCUUAGGGUUGUAAAGCUCUUUCAGCUGGGAAGAUAAUGACGGUACCAGCAGAAGAAGCCCCGGCUAACUCCGUG
rnacentral:rRNA from 1 species